UACGGAGGGUGCAAGCGUUAUCCGGAUUCACUGGGUUUAAAGGGUGCGUAGGCGGGCAGGUAAGUCAGUGGUGAAAUCUCCGAGCUUAACUCGGAAACUGCCGUUGAUACUAUUUGUCUUGAAUAUUGUGGAGGUAAGCGGAAUAUGUCAUGUAGCGGUGAAAUGCUUAGAUAUGACAUAGAACACCAAUUGCGAAGGCAGCUCACUACCCAGAUAUUGACACUGAGGCACGAAAGCGUGGGGAGCAAACCGG
rnacentral:rRNA from 1 species